GAGGACGGUUUAAGGCAAUGGCAGCAUACAAAGUGAAGUCCAUAACUCCAGCGGGUAAAGUGGAAGUGUUGUGUCGUGAUGAUGUCUACAUUCUUGAAGCUUUUGAUGAAGCUGGUGUUGACCUGCCAUGCUCAUGCAGGGUUGGUGCUUGCUCUUCUUGUGCUGGGAAAAUUGUAGCAGGGAACUGUGGAUCAGUCUGCUGGGAGCUUCCUUGACGAUGAGAAGAAAGAUGCUGGUUGGGUUCUCACUUGUAUUGCUCUUCCUCGGUCUGAUAUUGUCAUCGAGACAC
rnacentral:misc_RNA from 1 species